rnacentral:rRNA from 3 species
ACGGGUGAGUAACGCGUGGGAACAUACCUUUUGGUUCGGAACAACACAGGGAAACUUGUGCUAAUACCGGAUAAGCCCUUACGGGGAAAGAUUUAUCGCCGAAAGAUUGGCCCGCGUCUGAUUAGCUAGUUGGUGAGGUAAUGGCUCACCAAGGCGACGAUCAGUAGCUGGUCUGAGAGGAUGAUCAGCCACAUUGGGACUGAGACACGGCCCAAACUCCUACGGGAGGCAGCAGUGGGGAAUAUUGGACAAUGGGGGCAACCCUGAUCCAGCCAUGCCGCGUGAGUGAUGAAGGCCCUAGGGUUGUAAAGCUCUUUUGUGCGGGAAGAUAAUGACGGUACCGCAAGAAUAAGCCCCGGCUAACUUCGUGCCAGCAGCCGCGGUAAUACGAAGGGGGCUAGCGUUGCUCGGAAUCACUGGGCGUAAAGGGUGCGUAGGCGGGUCUUUAAGUCAGGGGUGAAAUCCUGGAGCUCAACUCCAGAACUGCCUUUGAUACUGAAGAUCUUGAGUUCGGGAGAGGUGAGUGGAACUGCGAGUGUAGAGGUGAAAUUCGUAGA